rnacentral:rRNA from 1 species
CUACGUGCCAGCAGCCGCGGUAAUACGGAAGGUCCAGGCGUUAUCCGGAUUUAUUGGGUUUAAAGGGAGCGUAGGCCGUGGAUUAAGCGUGUUGUGAAAUGUAGACGCUCAACGUCUGAAUUGCAGCGCGAACUGGUUCACUUGAGUAUGCGCAACGUAGGCGGAAUUCGUCGUGUAGCGGUGAAAUGCUUAGAUAUGACGAAGAACUCCGAUUGCGAAGGCAGCUUACGGGAGCACAACUGACGCUGAAGCUCGAAGGUGCGGGUAUCAAACAGGAUUAGAUACCCUGGUAGUCCGCACAGUAAACGAUGGAUGCCCGUUGUUAGUUCACUUAUGAAUUAGCGACCAAGCGAAAGCAUUAAGCAUCCCACCUGGGGAGUACGCCGGCAACGGUGAAACUCAAAGGAAUUGACGGGGGCCCGCACAAGCGGAGGAACAUGUGGUUUAAUUCGAUGAUACGCGAGGAACCUUACCCGGGCUUGAAUUGCAGACGAACGAUUCAGAGA